rnacentral:rRNA from 1 species
CCCUUAGACGUUCUGGGCCGCACGCGCGCUACACUGACCAGUGCAACAAGCAUCCGUCCUUGGCCGACAGGCCCGGGCAAUCUUUGAACGCUGAUCGUGAUGGGGAUAGACUUUUGCAAUUUUUGGUCUUCAACGAGGAAUUCCUAGUAAACGCAAGUCAUCAACUUGCAUUGAUUACGUCCCUGCCCUUUGUACACACCGCCCGUCGCACCUACCGAUUGAAUGGUCCGGUGAAGCCUCCGGAUUGGCGUGCACCCUCGGGUGCUGCCGAGAAGUUGGCUAAACCUUACCAUUUAGAGGAAGGUGAAGUCGUAACA